AUUGAACGCUGGCGGCAGGCUUAACACAUGCAAGUCGAGCGGGGUGAGGUGCUUCGGUACUGAUCCUAGCGGCGGACGGGUGAGUAAUGCUUAGGAAUCUGCCAUUUAGUGGGGGACAACAUUCCGAAAGGAAUGCUAAUACCGCAUACGUCCUACGGGAGAAAGCAGGGGAUCUUCGGACCUUGCGCUAAAUGAUGAGCCUAAGUCGGAUUAGCUAGUUGGUGGGGUAAAGGCCUACCAAGGCGAGGAUCUGUAGCGGGUCUGAGAGGAUGGUCCGCCACACUGGGACUGAGACGCGGCCCGGACUCCUACGGGAGGCAGCAGUGGGGAAUAUUGGACACUGGGCGGAAGCCUGAUCCAGCCAUGCCGCGUGUGUGAAGAAGGCCUUUUGGUUGUAAAGCACUUUAAGCGAGGAGGAGGCUACCUGGAUUAAUACUCUGGGAUAGUGGACGUUACUCGCAGAAUAAGCACCGGCUAACUCUGUGCCAGCAGCCGCCGCCGUAA
rnacentral:rRNA from 1 species